GGAAAUGGCGGGGUGCAUACGCAUGCAGUCGAGCGAGAUCUGUAGCAAUACAGUGAAAGCGGCGAAAGGGAGAGUAAUGCGUAAAUACGUACCUUGGGGUUCAGGAUAGCGUCGGGAAACUGACGGUAAUACUGAAUAAUGUCUUCGGACCAAAGAUUUAUUGCCCUUAGAGCGGUCUGCGUCCUAUUAGUUAGUUGGCAGGGUAAUGGCCUACCAAGACUAAGAUGGGUACUGGGUGUGAGAGCACGACCCAGCUCACUGGGACUGAGACACUGCCCAGACACCUACGGGUGGCUGCAGUCGAGAAUCUUCCGCAAUGGGCGAAAGCCUGACGGAGCGACGCCGCGUGCGGGAUGAAGGCCUUCGGGUUGUAAACCGCUGUCGGAGGGGAGCAAAUUAUGAGCGAUCCUCGGAGGAAGCACAGGCUAAACUCGUGCCAGCAGCCGCGGUAAUACGAGUUGUGCAAACGUUAUUCGGAAUCACUGGGCUUAAAGGGUGCGUAGGCGGCUACGAUAGUCAGGUGUGAAAUCCCUCGGCUCAACCGAGGAACUGCAUUCGAUACUGCGUAGCUUGAGGAAGACAAAGGUGAGCGGAACUGAUGGUGGAGCGGUGAAAUGCGUUGAUAUCAUCAGGAACACCGGUGGCGAAGGCGGCUCACUGGGUCUUAUCUGACGCUGAGGCACGAAAGCCAGGGGAGCAAACGGGAUUAGAUACCCCGGUAGUCCUGGCUGUAAACGAUGAGUACUAGUCUGUAAGGACCCCCACAUCCCUUCGGACGUAUCGAAAGUGUUAAGUACUCCGCCUGGGGAGUAUGGUCGCUAGGCUGAAUCUCAAAGGCAGUUGACGG
rnacentral:rRNA from 1 species